UUUAACUUCUGGAGACAUCAUUUACCUAUGAACACUGCAUUGUUAAUAUAAGUCCAGGAUAUGAGAAUGCAAUACUGCCAUGGUCGCAUGUUGUCAAAAAGUGAGAAGCUGUUUGAAUAACCAGGAGUGAGUGCAGGAUGACCAUGUACCCAGAAUGGAGGGAAUCAGUGAUGAAGACUCAAUUAUGGAGCUUUACUGUGAGGAAGCAAGAGUGACUGUCAGCAGACUGAUGCGAGUGAUAAAGUGCCCUGCCCUCCUUCAAAGACAAUAGUCAGUCAUGUCAGCAGCCAGCUAGUGUCUCCUGCUGGUGAAGAGGAGAGCUACAUUGAGAUCAAUUGCAGAGAGGAAGAAAACAUGCAGGACACAAUGGACACAAACAGCUCAACGCCAGGAGCACAAAACCUGAUCCAUGUUGAUGAAGAACUGAAGACUGAAAGAAUAAGCCAGCCUGUCGUAACAUCUGCACACACAAAGACACAACUGGAGAUGUUACUGGAGGAUCUGGGGCUGGAGCAGCACUUCACAGAGAAGCUAUCCCUGAACACAAUACUUGAGAUUGAUGAGAGGAGCAUUGCUGAUGAACCUGCCAAGUGCCAUUCAGAUCUUCCAUGGUAUUUUCUGAAGAAACUGAUGAUGGUUAAUGUGACAGCUAGGAAUGUGAAAUGUACAGCUGCAUGUGAGUCAAACUGUGAUGAGCCAUC